GGCCUCAGCACCAGUGUGUGCAGUAUGUGUGUGUGUUGGAAAGCUUAGCAGUGUGUACACAGGGUUUCUUUAUUUGAUCACUGUUUAGAUAUGCUGUGCGUGACACCAGAAAGGCCAUAUCAUUAAAGCUGUUUGUUUGUGUGUGGGUCAGUGUCUGUGUGUGCUGCCCUGUGAGCCAGGUAACAGGGGAAAGUGUACUUUCUGAUAGAUUAAGCCUUACAUAACUCCGCAUUCCACUCAGCAGGUAAACAAGCACCAGGACUAAGGUCAAAAACAGUGAGGUACCAGCUCAACUGUGGAGCCAGACGCUGGAGCCUGAAGCACAUCCCAGCCUCAGUGACCCACAUGCUCACAAACCCAAGCUGUCAUUAAAAUCUGUAUGGCUUAGAAAGCUCAGUAAUCAACAGGAACUGUUAUCUAAUCUUCUCCAGGUUUGGGUAGUGACUGCAGCACUCUGAGCAGAGAAUCCCAGACUUCCCUGACCCUGGCCACCUCUUCCAGCUCAUCAGAGAGGACACAGUCUUUCCCAACAUGUACACAUUAUGCUUACGUGUGGACGACUUUAAUGCACAAGGCUAAGAGGCAGGCAUGACCCUGGAUUCACAUGCACGAGCCUUGCUAAUAGAUUCACGGAGAUGGAAUUAGAGGAAAGUAGUUGCAGGGAGGGAGGUUUUAACAUGAUUUGUAACAGGAUCAAACUGCAUUUGCAUUGGAAUUGACAACUGAAUUUGCAUCACUGACCAAAACAUUCAAGUCCAAUCUUCUAAAUAUAUAAAUUCAUUUAUAAAUGGUUGUUCUGUGAUGUACGUUUAUUGUCCCAGUGUUAGCUGUAUAUAUGUCUGCGUGUAGAGCUUUUAUGACCAUUUAUACAAUGCUAAAAUAAACAUUGUGUGAUUGGUGUUUAUCUGUGCAUAUGAGCACAAAAUAAAGUAUCCCAGUGGUAUAGUAGCACUGAAAUUUAAUUAGCUCAUGGACACUUUUUGGCAAUAGCCUCUACUCUGAUCCUUACCAGAUGUACCUGACUCCUCAGACUAUCAGAUAUUUUACUCUCACCUUAGGAAACUCACAGGCUUGAUGGGUAAUUUUCAAUGCUCACUAUACAGUUAUUUUUCAAGCUGUUUGGAGAAAUCCAGGAAUUAAACUGACAGCUCGACAAAUGAACAAAUUCAACAUAAAUCUGACUUCCUGACCUUCUUGGCUUCGUAAAUUUCUGGCAACAUUCAUCGGGCACCAGUUCAAGAACUUUAAGCACUGCAGGAUUACCAUGGACAACUCGGUGCUGUCAUUUAAGUUUAAUGUAUAGAACCUUUUUUGAUAGGUAACUAAAACCAUUAAGGUAGCAAUUAAACAGUCUUCACUUUUUGUCAUGAGCCUUAGACUGCAUUGUAAAGAGAACGAUCCACUUCAAUAAAAGACAGAAGCUGAACAGCUGAACGUCCUUUGUUAAAUACCACAUAAUAAAUUCAGUCCACC
ensembl:lncRNA